GGGACAUGGGGGCACCCUGAUCCAGCCAUGCCGCGUGUGUGAAGAAGGCCUUAGGGUUGUAAAGCACUUUCAGCAGGGAGGAAAAGCUGAUCGUUAAUACCGGUCAGUGUUGACGUUACCUGCAGAAGAAGCACCGGCUAACUCCGUGCCAGCAGCCGCGGUAAUACGGAGGGUGCAAGCGUUAAUCGGAAUUACUGGGCGUAAAGGGCGCGUAGGCGGUUUGGUAAGCGAGUUGUGAAAGCCCCGGGCUCAACCUGGGAAUGGCAAUUCGAACUGCCAAGCUAGAAUGCAGCAGAGGGCAGUGGAAUUCCAGGUGUAGCGGUGAAAUGCUAGAUAUCUGGAGGAACACCAGUGGCGAAGGCGACUGCCUGGGCUGACAUUGACGCUGAGGUGCGAAAGCGUGGGUAGCAAACAGGAUUAGAUACCCUGGUAGUCCACGCUGUAAACGCUGAGAACUAGUCGUUGGGGCUAUUAGAGCCUUAGUGACGCAGCUAACGCGAUAAGUUCUCCGCCUGGGGAGUACGGCCGCAAGGUUAAAACUCAAAUGAAUUGACGGGGGCCCGCACAAGCGGUGGAGCAUGUGGUUUAAUUCGACGCAACGCGAAGAACCUUACCUGGUCUUGACAUCCUGCGAACUUGGUAGAGAUACCUUGGUGCCUUCGGAGCGCAGUGACAGGUGCUGCAUGGCCGUCGUCAGCUCGUGUCGUGAGAUGUUGGGUUAAGUCCCGUAACGAGCGCAACCCUUGUCCUUAGUUGCCAGCGGUCCGGCCGGGAACUCUAGGGAGACUGCCGGUGACAAACCGGAGGAAGGUGGGGAUGACGUCAGGUCAUCAUGGCCCUUACGGCCAGGGCUACACACGUGCUACAAUGGGGCGCACAGAGGGCAGCAAGCGCGCGAGU
rnacentral:rRNA from 1 species